UAAACAAGUUCAAAGCAAGGUCAACAGCUGGUGACUAACCCACCCUGUCCCGCAGGCUGCACAGCCCCACCUGGGAGGCCUUCACGCCUUUCCCGUGGGGCCUCCCCAACGGCGGCGGGCACCCCCUCCCUCGAGCAAUGCUGCACAACUGUGCGGACCCAGUGACCUGGUCGCCAAAAGAGGACCCUGGUGUGGUUCCUGCAUGGACCGGGCGAAGGAGAUGCAGCCCCGAGACACGGGAGCCAGGAGGGAGAAGGCACGCAGGACGGGGAAGGAGCCAGGAUGUGUGCACAGCUGGCCCGGCAGGUGUGGUGACCUCCCUAGCUCACAUCGGACUCAGGCCUGGGUGAACGCUUCUGCUUCCUUCCUGCUCCGCUCCCUUCAGGGACUGAUGCAGGAGGCAACUUUCGUUUGCCUCAUUUUAUAAAUAAGGAAACAGGAAAGCUCGCAGGAGGUGACGCCACCAGCCCAAGGCCACACGGCCAGCAAGCGUCAGCCCAGAUGUGACAGCUCGUCCUGUCCCUGGUCCCAGCCCCCUGGUUCCACCACCCACUGCCCGCAGAGCCCCAAGAGCAGGACGGUACUGGAGGCCCCUGUGGGAACAGGAGAGGACGCUCACCCAGAAGGCCCUCAUCCAACCUUCUCCUACAGCGGCUCCCCACGGACGACAAUUCUGCACCUCGGGGCCACAUUUGGUAGCGUCCAAAAAUAUUUCUGUGUCACACCCGGGGCGGGGGUGGGGCUCGCUCCCAGCAACUGGCGGGGAGAAGCCAGGGAGGCCUCGCUACGUCCCGCCACACACAGUAUGGCCCCACAGGCGAGACCCUCCGGCCCCAAAGGCCCAGCCGCACCGAGGCCGAGAAGCUCUGCCGGCCACGUCUCUGGAGGAAAACAGUGGGGUACACCCCACCUGCAACCGCCUCACCUCUGACUAAGCACACGGUCCCUCCACCCGCAGCGCCAGCGCACCUGAGCGCAGAUAAAAAGAGGCAUGGACGAGACUCACUGCAGGGUCACGUGUGGGGAGAAAAGA